GGCCCCGCACAAGCAGCGGAGCGUGUUGCUUAAUUCGAUGCAACGCGAAGAACCUUACCAGGGUUUGAAAUCAUUUCAAAAAGCUCCUUGAAAGAGGAGCCUCCUUCGGGAUGAAAUGACAGGUGGUGCAUGGCUGUCGUCAGCUCGUGUUGUGAAAUGUCGAGUUAAGUCUCGUAACGAGCGCAACCCAUGUCUCUUGUUGCUCACUGAGUGCUUAAGAGAGACUGCCGACCAACAUCGGAGGAAGGUGUGGAUGAUGUCAAGUCAGCAUGCCCCUUACAUCCUGGGCUACACACGUACUACAAUGGUAGGGACAAUGAGCUGCGAUCCUGCGAAGGCUAGCC
rnacentral:rRNA from 1 species